rnacentral:lncRNA from 1 species
UGAACGGGCAUGACACGGAAACAUUGAAAAUAACUUAAAAUGGCUUUUCUCUGUACUAGUAUUCCAGAGCAAUCGUCCAAACAGCAUCCAUAACUUCCAAAUUUUAUUGUGCAUUGUCAUAAACGGGAUAUUGCUGGAAAGGAAUUUUUUUCUCUAUCUGUACCGUCAAGGAUCUCAAGUUCAUUUUAGAGGGCGGAGUUGACGCCUUGUCUUCACAUUUACAUGAAUAAACAUUAAAGGAAAGGCACACAUGAUAUUGAGAUAAUUUUACAAAUAUUUAAUGGACUUGUAUGUGCCUCAGGUUUAGAAGAGGUCAUUGUGGGGGGCGGAGUCAUGUGUCCCAUCUAAUAUGGCGUUUUGGCCUUUUGUCACUUCAUUUAACCGUUUUUAAGAGUACUAUCAAGGAUCUCAAGUCCAUUUUAGAGGGCGGAGUUGACGCCUUGUCUUCAAAUUUACAUGAAUGAACAUUAAAGGUACCGUAAAGGAUCUCAAGUCCAUUUUAGAGGGCGGAGUUGACGCCUUGUCUUCAAAUUUACAUGAAUGAAUAUUAAAGGUUUAGAAGAGGUCAUCGUGGGGGGCGGAGUCUUGCAUCCCAUUUAAUAUGGCGUUUUGGCCUUUUGUCACUUCAUUUAACCGUUUUUAAGAGUAGUUUCGGUCAUUAUUGAUCUAAUUUUGCAUUUUUGUGUUCCAU